ACUACGGGUGUCAGCAGUGAGGAAUAUUGGUCAAUGGCCGGAAGGCUGAACCAGCCAAGCCGCGUGAAGGACGAAGGUGCCAAGCAUUGUAAACUUCUUUUGUCAAGGGACAAAAUCAGGCUCGAGAGCCUGACCGAGGUUACUUGAAGAAAAAGCAUCGGCUAACUCCGUGCCAGCAGCCGCGGUAAUACGGGGGAUGCGAGCGUUAUCCGGAUUUAUUGUGGUUAAAGGGUGUGUCGGCGGGGUGUUAAGUCAGCGGUAAAAGCCCGGGGCUCAACCCCGGCGAGCCGUUGAAACUGGCUGUCUUGAGAUGUCGAGAGGUAUGCGGAAUGCGCAGUGUAGCGGUGAAAUGCUUAGAUAUUGCGCAGAACUCCGAUGGCGAAGGCAGCAUACCGGCGGCGAUCUGACGCUGAGGCACGAAAGCGUGGGUAUCGAACAGGAUUAGAUACCCGGGUAGUC
rnacentral:rRNA from 1 species